GCUGGGCAUGAUGGUGCAUGCCUGUAGUCCCAGCUACUUGGGAGGCUGAGGUAGGAGGAUCACUUGAGCCCAGGAGUUCGAGGCUGCAGCAGUGAGCCAUGAUUGUGCCACUGCACUCCACGGCCUGGGUCAUAGAGUGAGACCCUGCCUCAA
ensembl:misc_RNA Metazoa_SRP Metazoan signal recognition particle RNA